rnacentral:rRNA from 1 species
GUGGGGAAUAUUGGACAAUGGGCGCAAGCCUGACGCAGCCAUGCCGCGUGAAUGAUGAAGGUCUUAGGAUUGUAAAAUUCUUUCACCGGGGACGAUAAUGACGGUACCCGGAGAAGAAGCUCCGGCUAACUUCGUGCCAGCAGCCGCGGUAAUACGAAGGGGGCUAGCGUUGCUCGGAAUUACUGGGCGUAAAGGGCGCGUAGGCGGACAGCUUAGUCAGAGGUGAAAGCCCAGGGCUCAACCUUGGAAUUGCCUUUGAUACUGGCUGUCUUGAGUUUGGGAGAGGUGAGUGGAACUCCGAGUGUAGAGGUGAAAUUCGUAGAUAUUCGGAAGAACACCAGUGGCGAAGGCGACUCACUGGCCCAAUACUGACGCUGAGGCGCGAAAGCGUGGGGAGCAAACAGGAUUAGAAACCCUAGUAGUCC